rnacentral:rRNA from 1 species
GACGAACGCUGGCGGCGUGCUUAACACAUGCAAGUGGAGCGACGAACCGGGGCUUGCCCCGGGGCAGAGCCGCGAACGGGUGAGUAACACGUGGGUUACCUGCCCCAAUGACCGGGACAACCCGAGGAAACUCGGGCUAAUACCGGAUGUGGUCUUCGGACGAAAGGAAGCUUCGGCCUCCGCAUUGGGAUGGGCCCGCGGCGCAUUAGCUAGUUGGUGGGGUAACGGCCUACCAAGGCGACGAUGCGUAGCUGGUCUGAGAGGACGAUCAGCCACACUGGGACUGAGACACGGCCCAGACUCCUACGGGAGGCAGCAGUGGGGAAUCUUGCGCAAUGCGCGAAAGCGUGACGCAGCAACGCCGCGUGGGGAAGAAGGCC